UAUUAAAGUGCCGUGGGAAGAGAUUACAGUGGAAUCUGCAGGAAAACAUUGCAAACAGAUUUUCAAGUACUUCACAACAGACUACAACAAAGCUUCUUCUGAACCAAAAUGAGAGCAAUCAUUGUCAGAGUCUUCCCCAAGCCCAUGUCAUCCGCUGGAAAGAAAGAGGCAGACAGAAGUUGUGACUACCUGCUAAAACGGGCCCCCAAGACUCAGACCGACUCUGAAGUAGCUAAUACAACAGAAAGUACCGUGGGAAGUACUGGAGGCAGAAGUCUGACCAUUUCAGGGCACAAUUUARCAAUGGGUUAAUUACUGAGUGGUUGAAAUACAUGCAAGUACAAGCCUACAUGUCUAUAAAUAAUUUACCUGGAGACUAAUAAGCAGCUGUGCCAAGCUUUUGUUGGUACAAAUCUGCCCUCCAAGCCCCUCUUCCCACUUCAUUGCCUACCUAGAAUUCCUCCACAUGGGCUCUGGCUCUCCCUCCAAAGCAGCCAUGCGAGCGCUUGCUUUUGGUGCAGCAGCAGUGGAACCUGACAGAAUGAGAGAAAAGAUUUGAAAGAAACACCCUGCACAGACACUCCUGCUUUCUUUAAGAAACUAUGCCGCUGAGCUACACUACUACAGCUUUACUAAGGGAAGGUUGAAUACCUAUUGUUGUCCCACAUUGACUGGAAUGCCCAAGAGAAGCAACUCCUACAGAGACGAGGCCACCAACACCAUACAUGAGACCCACUAGUGCUUCCAUCCAAACCAUCCUCAAACCUCACACUUCUCUGAGAGCACAAGAAGAGGGCUUAUUAAGUGGAAAACCCACCUAACYGGUGACACUGUCAAGGAGGGAGAAACUGAAAGCACUUUCUCCUUCCUCAUCAAGCCUGACACUCUUACAGCUUCUUAGGAAACAUGAAGUGAAUUUAAUGGCACACCAUGUGAAGUGAAUAUAAGAUCACACCAUGUGACAUUAAAAGACUUCCUUGGUGUUGAAAGGUCACAAGUGAAUCUAGCAAACGGUAUGACAGCUAAACAUAAACGCAUUGCCUUGCUGARGCACGUGCCUUCCAACAUCUUGCACACAGCACACAAGCUUCUAAAAGGWUUCUGCACUGCGACAGCGACCAAGAGCUGCUCUUCAGCAGAUCUGAACAGACAGAUCUGGAAUCUAUUGGGUUAUAUAGACUCAGUCUUCUGCAAUACUGACAAACUACUUCUCAUAGCUAGAGUUAGGUCAAGAAAAAACCUCAAAGUCCAGCAGAAAAUUCAUUUUCUUGCCAACUCA